rnacentral:rRNA from 1 species
AUUGAACGCUGGCGGCAUGCCUUACACAUGCAAGUCGAACGGCAGCACGGGUGCUUGCCCCUGGUGGCGAGUGGCGAGCGGGUGAGUAAUACAUCGGAACAUGUCCUGUAGUGGGGGAUAGCCCGGCGAAAGCCGGAUUAAUACCGCAUACGAUCCACGGAUGAAAGCGGGGGACCUUCGGGCCUCGCGCUAUAGGGUUGGCCGAUGGCUGAUUAGCUAGUUGGUGGGGUAAAGGCCUACCAAGGCGACGAUCAGUAGCUGGUCUGAGAGGACGACCAGCCACACUGGGACUGAGACACGGCCCAGACUCCUACGGGAGGCAGCAGUGGGGAAUUUUGGACAAUGGGCGAAAGCCUGAUCCAGCAAUGCCGCGUGUGUGAAGAAGGCCUUCGGGUUGUAAAGCACUUUUGUCCGGAAAGAAAUCCUUGGCUCUAAUACAGUCGGGGGAUGACGGUACCGGAAGAAUAAGCACCGGCUAACUACGUG